rnacentral:rRNA from 1 species
UUUUAGUGGCGAACGGGUGAGUAACACGUAAGCAACCUGCCUUUAAGACGAGAAUAACAAUUGGAAACAGUUGCUAAGGCUGGAUAGGAAAUAAAAAGGCAUCUUUUUAUUUUUAAAAGACCUUUUUCGGAAGGUAUGCUUAAAGAGGGGCUUGCGUCACAUUAGUUAGUUGGUAGGGUAAAGGCCUACCAAGACGAUGAUGUGUAGCUGGACUGAGAGGUUGAACAGCCACAUUGGGACUGAGACACGGCCCAAACUCCUACGGGAGGCAGCAGUAGGGAAUUUUCGGCAAUGGAGGAAACUCUGACCGAGCAACGCCGCGUGAACGACGAAGUACUUCGGUAUGUAAAGUUCUUUUAUUGAAGAAGAAACAAUAGUGGAAAAACUAUCUUGACGUUAUUCAAUGAAUAAGCCCCGGCUAACUAUGUGCCAGCAGCCGCGGUAAUACAUAGGGGGCGAGCGUUAUCCGGAAUUAUUGGGCGUAAAGGGUGCGUAGGCGGUUUAAUAAGUCUCUAGUUUAAUUUCAACGCUUAACGUUGUCCUGCUAGAGAAACUGUUUAACUAGAGUGAGAUAGAGGUAAGCGGAAUUCCAUGUGUAGCGGUAAAAUGUGUAAAUAUAUGGAGGAACACCAGAGGCGUAGGCGGCUUACUGGGUCUUUACUGACGCUGAUGCACGAAAGCGUGGGGAGCAAACAGGAUUAGAUACCCUGGUAGUCCACGCCGUAAACUAUGAGUACUAAGUGUCGGGGUUAAACUCGGUACUGAAGUUAACACAUUAAGUACUCCGCCUGAGUAGUACGUACGCAAGUAUGAAACUUAAAGGAAUUGACGGGAUCCCGCACAAGCGGUGGAUCAUGUUGUUUAAUUCGAAGAUACACGAAAAACCUUACCAGGUCUUGACAUACUCUGCAAAGCUAUAGAAAUAUAGUGGAGGUUAUCAGGGAUACAGGUGGUGCAUGGUUGUCGUCAGCUCGUGUCGUGAGAUGUUAGGUUAAGUUCUAAAACGAGCGCAACCCCUGUCGUUAAUUGCCAGCACGUUAUGGUGGGGACUUUAGCGAGACUGCCAAUGAAAAAUUGGAGGAAGGUGGGGAUUACGUCAAAUCAUCAUGCCCCUUAUGAUCUGGGCUACAAACGUGAUACAAUGGCUAUUACAAAGAGUAGCUGAAACGCGAGUUUUCGGCAAAUCUCAAAAAAAUAGUCUCAGUUCGGAUUGAAGUCUGCAACUCGACUUCAUGAAGUUGGAAUCGCUAGUAAUCGCGAAUCAGCAUGUCGCGGUGAAUACGUUCUCGGGGUUUGUACACACCGCCCGUCAAACCACGAAA